GGGGCCUUAGCUCAGCUGGUCAGAGCAGGGGACUCAUAAUCCCUUGGUCGCGGGUUCAAGCCCCGCAGGCCCUACCC
rnacentral:tRNA from 1 species